AGGCAUAGCUAUUCCCAAAUGUUAGACUAAUGGAUUCAUUCAGGCAGCAAGUUACUACAUCAUUCAAGGAAACUGAAUUCAUUUUAUCCACAAGAACAUGAGGUGAUUGAAAUAAUUUGCACCUGCCCAGCAUUCCUACAGUCUGUCAUUGGAUUUGUAAAGAAAUGUUUAUUAAAUAAAUUUUCUAGAUAAAUAAUAA